rnacentral:rRNA from 1 species
UACAGAGGGUGCAAGCGUUAAUCGGAAUUACUGGGCGUAAAGCGUGCGUAGACGGUUAUGUAAGUCGGGUGUGAAAGCCCCGGGCUCAACCUGGGAAUUGCAUUCGAGACUGCAUAGCUAGGGUGCGGAAGAGGGAAGCGGAAUUUCCGGUGUAGCGGUGAAAUGCGUAGAUAUCGGAAGGAACACCAGUGGCGAAAGCGGCUUCCUGGUCCAGCACCGACGUCAGGCACGAAGCGUGGGGAGCAAACAGGA